CCACCCAAAAAUCUAGCCAUAGCCGGUUCCUCAUCCUCCUCUAGGUUACAACGCAACAUACCCGUUUGUAAUUCCUGAUAAUAUUCUUCUACACUUUUAGCACCUUGUCUUAACUGCUGCAACUUAUUUAUCAUAUCACACGCAUAGUAAGAUGGAACAAAUCUAGCUCUCAUGGCCCUUUUCAGCGCAUCCCAAGUUCUAGGUAAGUUAUUAGGAUUUUUCUUUCCAUAUUCUAUCCACCAAACAGAAGCA
rnacentral:lncRNA from 1 species